rnacentral:rRNA from 1 species
UACGUAGGGCGCGAGCGUUGUCCGGAAUUAUUGGGCGUAAAGAGCUCGUAGGCGGCCUGUUGCGUCCGCUGUGAAAUCCCGGGGCUUAACCCCGGGCGUGCAGUGGAUACGGGCUGGCUGGAGGCAGGCAGGGGAGAACGGAAUUCCCGGUGUAGCGGUGAAAUGCGCAGAUAUCGGGAGGAACACCAAUGGCGAAGGCAGCUCGCUGGGACGGUACUGACGCUGAGACGCGAAAGCGUGGGGAGCAAACAGG